GGGGACUGCUCAGGACCCUGAACGAAAGAGGACCCCGAAACCUUUGCCCUGGACAAACCGGAAAAUUCCAUUACCAGCUUUGCUUGCCUGAGGCACAGGUGCCCUUGUGACAAAGGAAAUAGCCAAACUCAAGAGGUCGGAACCGCUCACAGAACCCACCCAAUUAGGAGCGCUUUCCACUGUUGUCUCUCCGCGGGCCGGAGAGAUCUCCGGGGGAAAGCGCAACUGGCGCCCAGCGUGGAUUCGUGAGAAAGGUCACCGAUCGGACGGCAGAGCGACGAGUCCGGAGCCACUCAUAAGACAUCAGAUGACACCUACUAAUGUACUCCUGGUCCUGCUAUGGCUUCAUCUGGAGUGAACUUCAUCCUCCUGGUACUGACCCAGACUCCACAACCCACAAGGUCCUGCCGACCUGACUGCUGCGGUUCGCGACCUCGCUGACCCUGCCCAGGACGCCGUGACCCCCGACUCUCCUGUCCACCAUGACGGGGCUCAUGCUUCCACCUCCCCUGCCCCCUUAUCUCCCCUUUCCCCAUCUCCUUCUGAUUUUUAGCCCCCCUCCUUUUUUUGGGUAUCUCCCUUGUUUCCUCCCAGAUUUUUAAUUUUACUUGGCAAGUCCUUAAUGAAGCGGGCGAUGUUGUCAAUUCCACUUCCAUUUUGCUUCCACUACACCCUGGCCCGAGCUCUGGGGUUGACCUCUGCGCCCUCCCAAUGCCCAGCAGUUUCUGGUCUCUCCCUGAUUACGCUGGCGGCCACGCGCCCAAAGCCAUUCCUGGCCAUGGUGUCAUUUCUGAAUGCUCCACCCGCCGCCACCGCCAGAAACUUCUCUCCGACCCCAUCUACGUUUGCCCUGGCGGCCGCCAUAGGCUACACCUCUCUUGCCCGCACUUGUGGCGAUCGCCCUGAUAUUUUUUGUGCCACCUGGGGCUGCGAGACCACGGGCGACACCUAUAGGAAACCUUCCUCCCCCUGGGACUUUAUCACGAUCCGAUGAGCACCUCACAGGCCCUCUGUCGAUUGCAACCGUGCGUGUAAUUUCCUCACCAUCCAAUUCACUUCUGCUGGCAAACGGCAUCCCUGGUCCAAUACUUUGCCCUGGGCUCUUCGCCUGUAUCACCUCGGCUAUGAUAAAGGCUUCACCUUCUCCCUUCGCCUUCUAAAAACUGCCCUCUCCUCACGCCCUAUUUCCAUGGGCCCCAACAACACCCUUCACCAUCAUCGCCCCCCUACCCCCCGUCGCUACCCACCGGCGCCCUCCGGGACCCCGCCACCCACAUCCUUCUUCCGUCCUACUCUGCCUGCGGGUCCAGCACCCUCUUCUCAGCCCAUCCUGGAUAUGGUCAACGCCUCUGCUACCGCCAUCACCGACCCCGCCUAUGACCAAUGCUGGAUCUGCUACUCCUCUCAACCGCCAUUCUACGAAGGCAUUGCUGUCCUCCGCUCUCCAUUGAACGUCUCUGACACCAACGAACUCCGCUGGGAAGUGGGGCCCACGCACCGAUUGACUUUGGGACAUGUGGUGGGAUCCGGACUUUGCCUAUUGGGGCCCAAUAUGCUCCCCCCGUAUGAUUUAGUACCCGUUUGCAAUCAGACUCUUGUUAUAUCCAAUUCCUCCCUCUGCGUUAAUGCCACCUUCUAUCCGUCCUAAGUCGUGGCCCCCGCUGAUACCUACUUCGCCUGUUCCUCUGGCCUGACUACUCACAUUGUUACAUCUGCCUUCCUAGCACAUAGAGAUUACUGCAUUUUGGUUCUGCUUUUGCCACGCCUCACGGUUCGCCCUGCCGAUGCCCUGCUCUUCUCUUCUUCCUCUCUCCUGCGCCACCGCCGUGAGCCUGUUACUGCCAUCACCUUUGCCCUCCUUCUCAGUCUGGGUGCUCCAGGCGCCGAUACGGGCAUCUACUCCCUUGUCUCCUCUAGGAAAACUUCCACCAACUGUCCCUUGCUGUGGAGGCUGAUGUCCUCGAACUUAAACAGGGCCUUAACUACCUAACUGACACUGUUGGCUCUCUGGCUGAGGUCGUCCACCUUAACAGACACAGCCCUGACCUGGCCUUUUUGAGAGAGGGGGGAGUAUGUGCCACUCUUUAGGAGGAAUGCUGUUUCUUUAAAGAUAAGCUUGGGCUAGUUAAGGAUAGCAUUAGAUGAGUGGAAGAAAACUUAGAGGAAAGUAAAAGAUUGAGAGACCAGGAGGAAUCUUGGUAUAAAAAUUGGUUCUCCACCUCACCCUGGCUCUCGACCCUGUUGCCUAGCCUCCUUGGACCCUUCAUUGGGUUCUUACUGCUAGUUUCCUUUGGCCCAUGGGCAUUCCGCCGACUCAUAAAUUUCAUUAAGAACCAGGUUGAUGAGGCAACCAAACGUUCAGUACAGGUCCACUCUCAGCAGCUCUCCCAACACGACCCCGAAGGGCUGGAUAGCUUGGAAAAGCCCACACUUCAGCCCCUGAACUUUGCGGAGUUCGAGCACCUGGCAUACAGCCCCUGCUCACUCUGUUCCCGGCUGUGGAAAUGCCUAAGACGGGGAUAGCUUGGUGCCAGUAUCUGGGUGCAAACAUGGCACCACCUACAGUCGUGCGCACAUUUUUCUAACCCUUUUGGUCACUGCCAUGUCCAGAACUGGGAGCCCACUAAGUAACCUAAGACAGGCACUCCACCCACUCGCUCAUUUUUAAUAUAGAAAA